GGUGAUGUCGCCUAUAGGA
rnacentral:misc_RNA from 1 species